CCAGAGGCCCGGUCAAGUUAGUUGAGAAGCAGUGACGCCCCCAACCGUCCCCUAAAUGGGCUGCCCCCCGUGUCCGCGCCACAAGGAGCCACACCUGGACCAGACCCCAGGAGAGGUAAGAACCAGUGGCAGACAUGGCGUCUGCGAAUCGGGGGGCAUCUGUGGCAUCCGCCACAGGGGCAUGCUGUAGCCAGGGGUCUGGUCCUUGCUCUCUCGCUAACCUGCUCUGCGCUUCCACCUUUCCGGGCCUCAGUUUCCCCAUCCGUCCAGGGGCCGGACUGGACGAUCUCUAAGUGCCCACCCUGCCCUGACCGGAUGGGCGGGGUCUGUGGUCCAGUUGGCCCGGAGGGCUCUGUGGCUGUGGUUAAGUGGGGGGUGGGAGCGGUCGGCGUUCGUGUCCUGCCGGCCCUGGGCCCAUCUCCCCGGCUUCUCUGGAGACACUGCUUCUUCCUUGCUCUGGGAGGUUUGAUUUCACAGCUCCAAAAGCCUGGGGCUCCUGGCAAGGAAAGCUGUUUUCAAAUAAUGGUUUCAAGAAGCAAAGCCGAGGCGAAGCUAUGUCAGCGCAGGCUCCAGCAGACCGGCAGAGGGGCGGGGAAGGCCAGGGUGCCGGCUGGGGGCUGGGGACGUGGGCUCCAGCCCCAGCUCUGCCUCUCACUGCCUGGCCCUGUGGCCCUGGGCAGGCACCCUACCCUCUCUGGGCUGCAGUUUCCCAUCCGUACCACGAAACCGUGGGACAACAAGGUCUCCGUGCAGGAUGUGGCUUCUGGAGCCCUACUGCAGCCUAAAGGGCAGCCAGUGCCGGAAGUACCCCGCCCCCCACCCGAGUCCCUGAGCUGAGAGUCCACGCAGAUGCCUGAAGCCCAUGGGAGCGUUCAGAGGUUGAGCCUCAAGUGGCGGAAAGGAGCCCAAGGGUCUCCGACUGUAGGUUUGGCCAGGGGAGGGCCAGCCCACAGCCCCGAGGCCUCAGGAUGAGCCUGGCCCUGUUGCAGCCUCUGGUGGGGAAGGGGCUGAUCUCUGGACCAGGGGGUGCAGGGCCUCGGGGUGCCAUAAGGACCGAACACACAGCAGAGGGUUUCAGGAGGAGUGACGCGGUGUGGUGGGGGCCUCGGAGGAAGGCAGCAGACACGCGAGGCAGGGCUGUGCAGGGGCAGAGGCCUGGGAUCGGCACCGGAAGGUGUGCAGGCAGUAUCGCUCUUCUGAAUAUGCUCUGACCACAUCUGGGGCCCAGAGUGGACACAACCCUCCAACGCCAGCCCGCCCACCACCUUCGCUUGCCCCACUCUGGUCACAUAAGACCUGAGGCCAUAAUGGUCCCAAAGGAGACUCUGGAAUCCAACUGCCUGGGUCCAAUCCUGGCUCUUUUACUUCCCAGACACGUGACCUUGGGCGAGUCACUUGCUAUCCCCAAGCCUCAGCUUCCUCCUCUAUAAAAUGAGUAUGGUUCUGACGUCACUUGGUUGUCAUGAAGAGAGAGGGACACAGGCACCCAAGAGCAGGGUAAAUGGGGCUGGUGUCAUGUUACCACCGGACCCUACUCCUCUCGAGGGGCAAGAUGACCUUAGCUCUGUUUAGAGAAAAGUGGGAAUGAAACUCAGGGAGCACUCAGAGUUGCUGAAGAGAGAAGGUACAGCAGGCAUGAGUUCAAAGGCCAGAGGUUAAGCCGUCGGUGGGGCCCCAGGAAUCUGCAUUUCAAGCUCCUGGGGGGAGUUCCCACACAUGUAGAGUUUUGUGGGGUUUUUUAAUUUUUUUUUUUAAUUUAUUUGUUUUUGAGACAGAGAGAGAGCAUGAACGGAGGAGGGUCAUAGAGAGAGGGAGACACAGAAUUCGAAACAGGCUCCAGGCUCUGAGCUGUCAGCACAGAGCCCGAUACGGGGCUUGAACUCACGGACCGCGAGAUCAUGACCUGAGCUGAAGUCGGACACUUACCGACUGAGCCACCCAGGCGCCCCUGUAGAGUUUUAAGAAUGCUGUGAGGCCAAGCAGCCGAGACCCUCACAAACACAGCUGAGGGAACUGGAUCCAAUAAGAGAGCACUGCUCUAGGUCAUGCAGAGAGCCGAUGACAGGGCUAGAACAGAAGCAGCCGGCCUCCCGAAUCCCGGACUCCAUGGUGGCGGUGCAGAUACGAGAAUUAUAUUGCGAUUGCCAUGGUCCAGCCAUUACCUAAGGUCUUUACAUGAAACAAUUCACUAAAUCAUCACAACAACCCUGUGAGGUAGGCGCGAUUAUGAUCCCCAUUGGACAGAUGAAGAAACUGAGUCAUGGAGGCUAAGUGACUUGCCUAAGGUCACCUAGCUUGCGAAUUGUUAAGGCUGGACAUGUAUUGUGCCAGCUGCCCCAGCUGCUCUCUCCCCCCGGGGUCUCCCACCCCCUGCCCCUCGGCCACUCCACCCCAGAACUUCCUGCUGACCCUCCAAUGUGGGGGUGACCUCGUGAAUAUACAUGGAGGAUUUCCUGGGAGGCCAGGUACCAGGCUGAAUCACUUGUAGUAUCAUUUAAUCUUCCCAGGAUUACCCAGAGGCAGGAAUCAGCAUCAUUUCAUUAUCCCUAAUUUAUAGAGUAGGAAACCACUGGAGCUCACCCAAGGUCACACAACUAAGAAAGUGGCAGAGGGGAUUUGAACCUAGUCCGCAGCUCCAAAAUACACGCUCUUGGCUUGCCCACCACAACACCUCGAAGCAGGGAGGAGGGAUCCCAUUUCAGAGAGGAGAUUGGCUAAGACGGUGAUCUCGCCAGAACUUGAAGCCAAGUGUUCUAGUUAGUUUCAAAGCCACCGUUUUUUCCUCAGCCCCACGGCUGCCCCAGGAUAGAAAGGACUUUGUCCCGACUCGCUAAGAGCCACACUGCAGCUCUCUGGGCAAAAUCAGCCCUUUCCCAGAGUGGCCAGUUGUGGGAAAGAGCCGACACACAUCGCUCUGGGGAAUAGAAAGUUCCAGGCCCAGUGUCACCGCGAACCCUCGGGGCUGUAUCUGAUUCCCCGUGCGAGCCCUGAGGAGCUAGGGAGAUGGUCUCCGAGGUCCUCACCGCUGGGCUAUGCCUGGGUCCUGCCUCAACCACUGUCUUCCAAGUGAAUAGUCCCCAGGGCACAGGGCCGUGGGGUCGUGCAAAAACCUGUGAUGAAGGCUUUUUCUGAUGGUUGCUAUUAUGACUACUUUUGUCCACGUCUCCUGGUGCUUGUGAGCCGGAGUUUCUCUGGAAUUUAUACCUUGAGAGAGAGAUUGCUGGGGUCUGGCCUACAUGCCUGGUCAACUUUACAGGAGAGCACUGGCUCGUCCCCCAAAGUGGCUGAAUCAAGUUGCACUCCUACCAGUUGCAUACAAGCAUCCCCCGCCUUCACAACACUUAAAACGGUCGGAUUUCUUUUUCUUUUCUUUUUUUUGGGGGGAGGGGGGAGGGAAGAGGGAGAGCGUGAGCAGGGGAGGGGCAGCCCGAAGCCCGACACAGGGCUGGAUCUCACAAUCACGGGAUCAUGACCUGAGCUGAAAUCAAGAGGGGAGGCUUGACUGACUGAGCCACCAGGCGCCCCCUAGAGUUUACUUUAAAAAAAAAAAAGGAUGAAAAAGAAACAAAACUCUGCUCGCCGCUGUCCACAUGGGUGUCUAGAAGGCCCCCUUCCAUGCGCCAAGCCGCAGAGCACCCUGGAGGCCCUGGGGCAGGAUGAGCACUGCUCACGCGGCCUUCCCCCGGCCCAGCGGUGUGAGGCGGCUACGCUCCAACCAGAGGCCGCCUGCCCGAUCAUCUGCAGGAAUUUGGGGGAAAGAGCCCACGGGGGCUGCCAUCUCCGGACGGCCUGUCUAGACAGGCCCCGCGGGACUUCACCACACAUACGAGGGCCACAGAGGCGGCCCCCUCCCCGCUUGCAAAAGCGACUUAUUGGCAGCCAUGCUUCUCCACCAGAAACCUUUUCUCCAAUUCAAAACCCGCCUUAGCGCACGGCAUGAAUCACCUAUUCCCACGGCCCGUGGAGACCAACUCAUCCGGGCCCCUUUUGUCCAGAUGAGGAAACCGAGGCCAACUCCUGAGCGAAGGGGCUUUCAGAGGUGGGGUGAUACUCUUUGCCCAGGUGAAGAGGGGACUGGGAUUGGGCGGGGGGGUCAGACGGCUGCCAGAACAGGGCUAAAAUACAAGAGGCUGGUGGGGGGCGCCUGGGUGGCACGGUCAGUUAAGCCUCCAACUUCGGCUCAGGUCGUGAUCUCACGGUUCAUGAGUUCGAGCCCCGCGUCGGGCUCUGUGCUGACAGCUCAGAGCCUGGAGCCUGUUUUGGAUUCUGUGUCUCCCUCUCUCUCUCUGCCCCUCCCCCGCUCACACUCUGUCUCUCUCUCUCUCUCUCUCUUUCAAAAUAAACAUUAAAAAAAAGAAAGAUGCAAGAGGCUGGCGGUUAAAGGUGCCGAAUGGCAGUCAGGCUGCCUGGGUUUGAAUUCCAGAUCUUUCUCAUAGCAUCUGUGUGACAGGGGGCGUGAUAAGAAUUCCUGUCUCCUCAGGUUACUGAGUUGCCUGGAUUAAACGGGCUCAAACGCAUGAGGCCCUCAGAUCAGUGACCGGGCGCAGAGCAAGUGGUCAGUAGCAAAUAACUGCUAAAAUGUGCUAGCAGCCGUCCGGCUCAUCCACACAGGGUCUGCUCCAGGACCCCCAGGGCAUGCCUGAAACCGCAGGGGGCGCUGAGCCCUGUACAUAUUGUGUUUCUCCUAUGCACACCUACCAGUCACAAAGUUUACCUUGGAAGUUAGCCACAGUGAGACGCUAACAAUAACUAAUAACACAGACCAAUUACAACAACGUAUCGUAAUAAAACUUCUGUGAGGGUGGCGUCUCUCUCAAAAUAUCUUAUCGUACUGCACUCACUCUCUUUGUGAUGAUGUGAGAGGGGAAAGUGCCUACCUGAUGACACAGGCGCUGUGACACAGCCUUAGGCUGACCUUCUGAGGCGACUUCGGAAGGUGGGUCACCUGCUUCUGCACGGACCGCCAUUGAGCGCGGGUAACUGGAACCGUUGUACUCAAGGCAGCUUCUUUGGGAGGGAAGGAGGCGCCGUAGUGGGCUCCAACUCUUCCUUCCCUCGGGGAGGGGAUAAACUGCCCUUGUUCUUGCAAAAACACCAACUGCCGCCUGCCGAGUCUUCCCAGGCGCCUGGCCCUUGGCCCCUCUCUGGGGUCCCAGAGGCUCAGAGAGAGGUAGUCAUUUGCCUGAAGUCACACAGCUCGUAAGAGGCCAAGCUGGAGCUCAGACCCAGGUCUGGCUGGCUCCAGGACCCCGUGCCCAUAGCUCCAGCGCCGCCCAAUGAGUCAGUGAGCGAGAGUUGGCCUGCCCGAUAGGACCGACUAGGCAUUUGGAAAGGGGACCGUUUGAAGCCUGGUGCCUCCUUCUAGAUUAAGUAUUGUUAUGGUGAGGGGAUAGAUGGAGCUCCCCCUACCCCACCCCAUCCUCCCCCCCCUCCAUCCACACACUUGCUCAAGGGCAAAAAUGCAAACCUUGGCCAAACCAUCCUUCUGGCCAAUGAGCACCCCGUAGUGUGGACUGAGUACCCUUGGGGGGGCCCAUCAGUCCUGGGUGCCCCUCACCCAGCACCACCCAGCAGAGAUUUGAGGAGGGGGCAGUGAGCCAGACCAAGGCUGAAAGAAGCAGCCUCACCUCAGCCUUCCCUGAGCACCCGUAUGGGCCGCAAGCCUAGGUCCCUUCCUGAAUGGCCCUCCUCUGCCCCAAGCCAUGCAUCCAGGGAGAAGGAGAAGCCCCGAACUGGGAAACACACUGGCCCCAGUGACCUUAACAGGGACACUGCUCAGCUGCCACUAGCUUCCACCCCGUACCAUCUUCCUCCUCCUCCUCCUCCUCCUCCUCCUCCUCUUCUUCAUUCGGCAAACAAGGAUGGGGCUGAAGUGUCCAGAGGGAGGCUGCCGCCUCAGGAUGGCAUCUGUAACAGCCAGGGCACCACCCCUGGCUGGUCUUCCAGGCUCAGAGGCCACUGGCCUGUCUCCCCGGAGCCUGCCAGACCUCAGGCAUGUGACCUGACAACCCCAUUGAAUCCAGGGGUGUCGGCUGAGAUAAACUGGGGCAAGAUGGCGAUAAAAGGAAAGAAUCAGGCUAGGACUCGGACCCCAGCUCUGCAGCUAACACACUGGGUUAAGUUCCGCUGUCCCUCCAGGCCCUUUAGGCUGUGAUGCUCCAUGAUUUGGGCUGGAAGGGAGAUUGCUUGGGUCAUCCCAUGGGUGAUGGUGGCUGCCUGGACUGUCAGGGAGGGAGAACCUGGAGUAGGGGUGGUCGGAGCGGCAUGGCAUGCUCUGGAUAGACAGCGAAGAGAAGGGAAGGCUUUCCAGGUCGAGAGUUCUGUGUGCAAAGGUAUGGAGGCGGGACUAGGAGGGCAUUUUCAGAACAGCAAACAAGCGCAUUUGACCGGAACGGAGGGUAGGUCUAAAGCCGGGUGAGAUCUGAGGCUGGCGAAGUGGGGAAGGUUGGAUGGCGAAGCGGCCUUAAUAGCCUACAACCAAAAUGCCAUUAAGUGGUAGAUGUCCUUCUUGGUAUCUGUCUCGGGAGGGAGUCCCUUUCUUUAUUUAGCCUGCUUGUAUCCUUUCCCCAACACCGUCAGGCCAAGAGCCCCAGCGCAGGGGAGAGCCCUGGGAAUUUGGCAUUAGUGACUCUGAGAUAUCAAAUAAUGGGAUAGGAGACCUGGGGUGGGAUUAGGAAGGGUAGGGAGCCUGAGAGCUGUAGUCGCCAUGUUUAAACCUCCAAAGAGCUUUCUAGGGAACAGACACUUGUUCCUUGUAACCUUAAAGGACAGGACGUGCAGUCCCAGAGGGGCAGCUGUCAGUAGGAAUAUUAGGAAGGACUCUCCAAGAGUCUGUCCAAAGAGAGAUGAGGUGAUUGAGCUCCCCGUCCCCAGAGGUAUGCAAGCUUAACACGGACACUGUGGAGAGAAAUCAAGUUAGAAGAGUUUGAGCCUCGUGGCCUUUCCCACCACCAGCCUGGAACUUCACAUCACAGCCCCGGCUGCCUUGGGACUGAACUCCCCUGCUGCCUGGAUGUCAGAUUCCCAGCUGGGCAUGACAUCAGUUCUGCCCUGACUUCACAAGGGCCCUCUGGGGACCCUCCUCCCCUCCACUUCCUUUCACCCCACUGCUGCUUUUCGUCCUUCCCAGGGAACCCACCAGGCCUGACCAGGGAGACCUGGAGCCUGCUUAUAAGACUGGGUCUCCAGGGAGCAUUCAGCCGAUGGCCUUCCACCCCAGCAAGAAUGAGGCAGAGGGGGCCCGGGUCCCUGGGAGCUCUGUUCACACGCCCCCGAGAGUCUACAUGGAAAUUCCAGGAGGGUCACAGGGAAGCUUCCAAUUUAGAACAAGACGCUUUAUUUUUGUCCCUAUUUCUUUCCUGUCCCUCUUUUCCCUUAGCAGUGGGUGGGGGUGUCACAGGAGGCUGUAAGAGGAAAGCAAGCCUCUUUGGGCUGAGUCACAGAAAGGCUGGGUGUGCAGAGAUGGGCCGUGGGCAGAUAGGAAGGGGAACCACAUAGGGCAGCCGUGUGGGAAAGAGUAGAGAGAGGCCAGGGCAGAGCCACGGGGACAGCCAGGCCUCGGCAGUGACACCAGAGCUCCGUGAGUUCUGGGUUCAGCCUGGGGUCAGAGAAUCAGCCCGGGUUCAGGAUUGGGGUUCCCAGGAACCUUGGGCACCGGGUCCCCACCUCAAUGGAUUAUAAAGCUACAGAGUAGUACUGAAUCCCUCUCGCUCACCCUGGCGAUCCUAGCAGAUGCUUAGUCAUCAUUCCUGGUGUUGAAUUUUAAACUCAUAGUGUCAUUAUCCUGUUAGAGCGAAAAGGGACCUAACAAGAGCGUGUUAUAGAUGUGGAACCUUGAGGCCAACAGCGGGGUGGGGUGGGGGAGGGACUUGCCCAAGAUCACACUGCCAGGGUGGCCGCCUAGCCUGGUGCAUCCUUCUUUGCCUCUUCCCUGCCUGUAUCCAGAGAUGGAAGCUACGAUAUGGUCCUCAAAGCCAAGGGAAGGGGACAGAAGAGAGGCAGGUGCCCCCCCAGGACAUAACUAUCCCCAAGAAGUAGUCAAAAGAUGACGGUGUAUCUUGAGUUCUAACUGCUCUGCUCAGGAACGCUCUUUUCCUGCCCAGAGAUAGUCCCUCACGUUGUCAGCUGCUGCAGACGGGAGGCCUCCUGCAGAGGAAAGAGCCCAAGGCUGGGAGGGGAAGCCCUGGGUUCUAUUCUUGGCUCUGCCUCAACCCUCCAUAUGACCUUGAGCAUGACCAUGAGUGUGAGGUCUUUUCUGGCCUCAGUGUGUUCAGAGCGGGGCUGGACCCAACCAGCUUAAACGGUCAGAGAUUCCACCCAUGAUCUGCCUCAGUCUCCCCUCCUCUCUCCCUGUCUCAAUCCAUCUAAGCUUUUGCCUGAGCACAGGAAGUCAGCCAGGACGAAAACAGCAACCUGUAGAUUCCCCUCUACUGGGAGCAGCAUCCUCUCUGCCCAAGCUCUGCUGUCCAGCCUCGGACUUCCCAGAGAGGCAAGAAGCUGGAACGGCCCUGAAGAUCACCCCAGUGGGGGAAUCAGAGACCAGAGAGGUUCAGCAUAUUGCUCAAGGUUACACAGCAAACCAUGUGCAAAUGGGAAGUGGGCCCUUGGGUCCCCCGAUGCCCAGACCAGUGCCCUCUCCACUAACCACGCUGCCCUUUAGGGUAAUGGGCACGUUAGCCAUCCACGCGUGAGCCUGGGAUCUAUUUACCUUGACACCUCAAACGUCCACACAGUCUCUUUCCCUCUCUGGGAUGCAGUUUCUUCUAAAAACAGGGAGAUGGCAUGGACCAGAUGUUUCUCUAAGGUCUUGCACUCCAUCACUGGGGCUCCACCAGGACCCCAGGGCUUUCCAGUGUGGCCACCCCAGCCCUCUCUUCACAGACGAUGGAGCUACCCUCCUCCCCUCCCCCCAACCGGCCAGGACAUCCCACCAAGUCACAGCCCUCACCCAGACUGUCCCACCCUGGACCCCAGGGCUGGGCCUCAUCCAGAACUACAGGCUCCUGGCCCAGCUCCCCCUCUGGGGAUCUGAAUUUUUCUUACCAUAAAAGGGCAAGCGUGCCUCUCUCCCCGUCCCUGCUGCCAGCCCCGCUGGGGGAAAGGCUGAGCUAUUUUUAGAAAACUCAAGGGUUUGCUCCUGGACUUGAGAUGGAGCUUGUCGGAGCCUGCAGCCCGGGGAGCCCCUUCCCCAUCUCCCUCGCCCGCCUUCUCUCCCUCUGCCCCUCUUCUCACCCCUCACCCCCUCUUCACUCACUUUCUUCCUCGCCCUGCCUCUCUCCCUCUUGCCCUUCGGUCAAUGACUCCUCCCUCUUCCUCCCCGUCUCCUCUCUCUUCUCCCCCAUCUCAUACACAGCUCCCCUCCCCCCCCAUCCCCUCCUUCAGAUCCGGCUUUUGGAAGAUGGAGAGAGUAACACAUCUUCACCCCCAUCCCCUUCUUAAACACUAUUUACAACAUAAAUUCCAAACAUCCGCCAUCUGGUUCUAGGAAGGGCCAAAAGAUAUUUAGAAAAGGAAGUCAUGAUUAUUCCAUCUUCAAAGCCAAAGGAACUUAAAGGCCCCCUCUCUCCCGCCUCCCUCCCAGGGCCUCUUUGUUAAGAUCUAACAGAUUAGGAUCCCUCCGUGAGUAGAAAGAGCCAGUCCCAGCUGGGCCUCGGACUGCAUCACUUUGAGCGGGUUGCCUCUCCUCUCCGUACCUCGGUUUUCCUCAUCCAAGCAAUGGGCGCGAGAUGAGGUUGCCUCCAGCACUAACGUUCUGAGACUUUGAGUCCUGCUGCAGAAAACCCACCCGGCCCAGGUCCCUGUGGCCUGCUCUGGGCUGAGCAUAGGGUGGGCUAGCAGGGGAAGCGAGUGAGAGCCAGCGGGGGAGUUCCAGCCUCAACCUUCGGUGCCCCUUCUCUCUCGCUCCGUGGAGAUCCAUGCAGACCGUCCACCUUCCAAUUCCAGCACACUGACACUAACACCAAGGGGAUGGGCUGGGGUCAAGCCAUCCCCCCAGUGGGAUACCAUGGAGUCCGGUCCCCUCCCCACCACAUCACAGUGAGGCCCAGAGAGGGGAAGGCUCUUUCCGCAAUCACACCGCAGGUGACCUGGAUUCUAACCAGCUGCUCUUCCCAUCCAGGACGCUCCAGAAGAAACCAGCAUUUGUAGUAUCCAGAGAGCGUCGCUCAGAGCCAGCAAACCGGGACCCUGGAGGCCCCACUUCUUUGCAAAGUGGACAGGGCAGAAGGGAGAACUAAUCCCUUUGCUGCGGUUGGUUGGUUUUAAACAGACAGCACGCUAGGGAAGAAGUACGAGAGGCAUAACGAAAAUGGAAAGUCUCCCUGCUUCUGGAGAUGUGCACCUUUGCCGGGGUCCGCACACCUCCGUUUACUCUGCAGAUGCUUCUUUGCCCACAGCCCCGUGUCCACCUCAGUGAACACAGGCCUGACGAAACGCCGUGAGACACUCACCCAGGCUGUCGCUCUAUAAAAAUGGUGCCGGGGGAUAGUCGGGUCUCACGGGGCAGCCGUGAAAACGCGUGUUGGGCUGGCCGAAGCCCAUCCUGAGCCUGACGCUCACCGGCCGUGUGACCUUGAGGGAGCGCUAUGACCUCUGCGAGCCUCAGUUUCUCCGUCUGGAAAAUGGGGGUGAAAACGGUACGCAACUCCUCUACGUGGUUGUGAGAAAGCCAGUGCAAAGCACUUAGCGAGUGUGGGGCGCAUCGAAAGCUCUUGUUAGGAUCACAGCAGGUCCCGGCGUAAGUGGGUGGUGGCUACUGUAACUGUCACUGUGUGUCCCUGCCUUUGUUCUCACUGGAAGGUCACGGUGAAUGAGAAGCACGGGGGUCCUCUAGCCCCCAGCCUCCCGGGGCCUGAGCACCAGGCUUGGUAUUAGGGGCCAGGCAGGUGGAACCCCCUUCCUCUCCCUCUCUUCCUCCAUCACUCUCAGUUCAGCCUCAAACUGCAUUCCCAGGGCUUGCUCAAAAGUCCCCAGCAGCAGCCUUCCCUGGGGAGGAAGUAGGGAGCGUGUGAGGCUAGUGAACUCAGCUGGGGUGUCAAGGGGGUGGGAGGGCGCCCUGGGAAACAGAGGCCCGGAGAAGCCGCAUCACCGAGGGGACAUGGAAAGGGGCCCCACGUGGUGGCUCCCACCCCAGCAUCCACAUCUUCUCUGGAUGCCUCUCUGGACCUUUGCCCCCAUCCUUCCUGCUUCCCUCCCUCCCAAGCCUAUGCCUCACUGUGGGUCCAGCCCCGGGCUCAUAAUGGAAAUGCAGCCAUGUAUGUGGGCUCCCUACAUGCCAGCAACUGCGCCUGCACUUGACACGGACCUCAGCUGACCUUCACAAACAAGCCUGAGGUCGGGGACCAAGUUCAGAGAGGUGAAGCCACCAGCUCUUGGUCACACAGCUAGAAAGAGCUAGGGGGAGGUUCGGUGCAGACCUGCCUGGCUGCAGGGCCUGGGUUCUCUGUUCUUUGCAAACGUCUGGUGGAAAUCCCAGGACCCUGGAGUCCAAGGAGGGCACAGGCUGCAAUCCGUGUACAUGCGUGAGGGAGCAAGGAAGGGGAGCUGAGGGCAAGGAAGCCCCUCCAGGGGGACCCGGCUGUGGGCACGGUUUCCUGUGCUUGCGAGGAGCUUCGAGCUCAGCCCUCUCCCACUGUGGUGCCAUCUGGCUCCCAGAUGUGGCCCAUUCCCAGGCCCUCGUGUUUCUUGGAAGUGAGCAAAGCCAGCAGAGGGCACAGCGGCUUUUGCAAUGACCGUAACGAUGUGAGCUUUGUUUCGGGGUCAUCCAGCAGGCCGCUGCUCAGGCUGGAUGGAGCGUGAGCCGCCCUGGGUUCAAGCUUCCUUCUGAUUCUUGCCAGUGGAUGACGCUGGGCACACUGCAGAGCCACUGAGAACCUCGGUUACGCGGGGAAGUUACUCCUAC
rnacentral:lncRNA from 1 species